rnacentral:rRNA from 1 species
GACGAACGCUGGCGGCGUGCUUAACACAUGCAAGUCGAGCGGUAAGGCCCCUUCGGGGGUACACGAGCGGCGAACGGGUGAGUAACACGUGGGUGACCUGCCCUCAGCUCUGGGAUAAGCCUGGGAAACUGGGUCUAAUACCGGAUAUGACUCCAUGACGCAUGUCGUGGGGUGAAAGCCUUGUGCGGCUGGGGGAUGGGCCCGCGGCCUAUCAGCUUGUUGGUGGGGUGAGGCCUACCAAGGCGACGACGGGUAGCCGGCCUGAGAGGGCGACCGGCCACACUGGGACUGAGACACGGCCCAGACUCCUACGGGAGGCAGCAGUGGGGAAUCUUGCGCAAUGGGCGAAAGCCUGACGCAGCGACGCCGCGUGAGGGAUGACGGCCU